rnacentral:rRNA from 1 species
AAAUUGAAGAGUUUGAUCAUGGCUCAGAUUGAACGCUGGCGGCAGGCCUAACACAUGCAAGUCGAACGGUAACAGGAAGCAGCUUGCUGCUUCGCUGACGAGUGGCGGACGGGUGAGUAAUGUCUGGGAAACUGCCUGAUGGAGGGGGAUAACUACUGGAAACGGUAGCUAAUACCGCAUAACGUCGCAAGACCAAAGAGGGGGACAUUCGGGCCUC